UACGUAGGGUCCGAGCGUUGUCCGGAAUUAUUGGGCGUAAAGAGCUCGUAGGCGGUUUGUCGCGUCUGCUGUGAAAUCCCGAGGCUCAACCUCGGGCCUGCAGUGGGUACGGGCAGACUGGAGUGCGGUAGGGGAGAAUGGAAUUCCUGGUGUAGCGGUGGAAUGCGCAGAUAUCAGGAGGAACACCAGUGGCGAAGGCGCCGCUCUGGGCCGUGACUGACGCUGAGGAGCGAAAGCGUGGGUAGCAAACAGG
rnacentral:rRNA from 1 species